rnacentral:lncRNA from 1 species
GUCCUCCUUCCAAGUAUUGCUGGGGCUCCCCGAGGAAGGUCUAGGUUUCACAAGUCUCUUCUUGGUGUUUGCUUGUCUCCUUGGGGGGUCUCUUACAACCAGUCUGCACCAGCCGUUGCUGGAGUUGUGUGGGCUGUCCCUCCCCCGCAUGCUGUCUGCCUUCCAAAGUCCCUCAACAUGGGAGGGAGAGGAAACCUCCGUCCUCACUCUGAGACCAGGCUGCGUGCUUGUCCUUGGGAAGAAUUCCCUCCUCUUGCUUGCGUAUGCUACUUCACUAAUAUUCCUGAAAGCCUGAGUUUCUUCAGUCUUCAGUGAGACGGUUGUCGGGUCGCCCCAUGUCAAAGGUGGAACAUUAGCCGCUUUAGUUUCCAUCACAACACGUGGCCACGACUCACACAGUGUGGAUGAGGCUCCUGGCUGCAGACGGUCCCGCGGAAAUGACCGAGGAGGUCCAGAGUUUUCCGACCUAGACUUCCUUCAACCUGAUGUGGUUUUGCCACAGCUGCUGUUUCUCUUUACUCUCCGACCCCAGUUCGCCAAAACAGUGUGUGGCUCGUGUGCAUUCCUUGCUGCUUCUCCUACACUUGGGUGCGCGUCAAUCGGCCUCGUGCUCCUCCCAGCAGGGAGCCCCCUUGAAGGGUGAGGCUGGGCAGGGGCGCCACGAUCCGGCCUGAGGGUGGUGAGGCUUUGGCUGGUUCCAGAACUCAGUCGAUUCGCU